rnacentral:rRNA from 1 species
CCUACGGGAGGCAGCAGUGGGGACUAUUGGGCAAUGGGCGCAAGCCUGACCCAGCAACGCCGCGUGAAGGAUGAAGGCCCUCGGGUUGUAAACUUCUUUUGUCAGGGACGAAGAACGUGACGGUUCCUGACCACUAAGCAUACGCUACCUCCGUGCAAGCAGCCGCGGUAAUACGGUGGAUGCGAGCGUUAUCCGGAUUUAUUGGGUUAAAAGGGUGCGCAGGCGGAAGAUAAAGUCAGCGGUACAAUUGAGAGGCGCAACCUGUACGAGGCGUUGAAACUGGUUUUCUUGAGUGAGUGAGAGGUAUGCGGAAUGCGUGGUGUAGCGGUGAAAUGCAUAGAUAUCACGCAGAACUCCGAUGGCGAAGGCAGCAUACCGGCGCUCAACUGACGCU